AAUCAACGCUGGCGGCGUGCCUCAGACAUGCAAGUCGAACGCGAAAGUUUCCUUCGGGAAGCGAGUAGAGUGGCGCACGGGUGAGUAACACGUAAGUAAUCUACCCUUGGGUGGGGAAUAACAUCGGGAAACCGAUGCUAAUACCGCAUAAUGCAGCGGCUUCAUAUGAAGACAGUUGUUAAAGCAUUUAUGUGCCUGAGGAGGAGCUUGCGGCAGAUUAGCUAGUUGGUAAGGUAAUGGCUUACCAAGGCAACGAUCUGUAGCCGACCUGAGAGGGUGGUCGGUCACACUGACACUGAAUAACGGGUCAGACUCCUACGGGAGGCAGCAGUCGGGAAUUUUGGGCAAUGGGCGCAAGCCUGACCCAGCAACGCCGCGUGAAGGAUGAAG
rnacentral:rRNA from 1 species